rnacentral:rRNA from 1 species
GACGAACGCUGGCGGCGUGCCUAAUACAUGCAAGUCGAACGCUUCUUUCCUCCCGAGUGCUUGCACUCAAUUGGAAAGAGGAGUGGCGGACGGGUGAGUAACACGUGGGUAACCUACCCAUCAGAGGGGGAUAACACUUGGAAACAGGUGCUAAUACCGCAUAACAGUUUAUGCCGCAUGGCAUAAGAGUGAAAGGCGCUUUCGGGUGUCGCUGAUGGAUGGACCCGCGGUGCAUUAGCUAGUUGGUGAGGUAACGGCUCACCAAGGCCACGAUGCAUAGCCGACCUGAGAGGGUGAUCGGCCACACUGGGACUGAGACACGGCCCAGACUCCUACGGGAGGCAGCAGUAGGGAAUCUUCGGCAAUGGACGAAAGUCUGACCGAGCAACGCCGCGUGAGUGAAGAAGGUUUUCGGAUCGUAAAACUCUGUUGUUAGAGAAGAACAAGGACGUUAGUGACUGAACGUCCCCUGACGGUAUCUAAACAGAAAGCAACGGCUAACUACGUG